rnacentral:misc_RNA from 1 species
AACGCACAUUGCACCCUCUGGUAUUCCGGGGGGUAUGCCUGUUCGAGCGUCAUUGCAACCCUCAAGCUCAGCUUGGUAUUGGGUGCCAUCUAGCAAUUGUUGGUGCACCUUAAAAUCAGUGGCGGUGCCAUUCGGCCUCAAGCGUAGUAAAAACUUUUCGCUUUGGAGGUUUGGGUGUGUGCUUGCCAGCAACUCUCAUUUAUCAAAGGUUGACCUCGGAUCAGGUAGGGAUACCCGCUGAACUUAA